UACAGAGGUCCCAAGCGUUGUUCGGAUUCACUGGGCGUAAAGGGUGCGUAGGUGGUGAGGUAAGUCGGAUGUGAAAGCUCCGAGCUCAACUCGGAAAUGGCAUUGGAAACUACCUUGCUAGAGGGUUUGAGGGGGGACUGGAAUACUUGGUGUAGCAGUGAAAUGCGUAGAUAUCAAGUGGAACACUAGUGGCGAAGGCGAGUCCCUGGAAAACUCCUGACACUGAGGCACGAAAGCUAGGGGAGCAAACAGG
rnacentral:rRNA from 1 species